AUACGUAGGGGGCGAGCGUUGUCCGGAUUUACUGGGCGUAAAGGGUACGCAGGCGGCCAUGUAAGUCAGAUGUGAAAGGCUACGGCUUAACCGUAGCAAGCAUUUGAAACUGUGUGGCUUGAGUUAAGGAGAGGAAAGUGGAAUUCCUGGUGUAGCGGGGAAAUGCGUAGAUAUCAGGAGGAAUACCAGUGGCGAAGGCGACUUUCUGGACUUAUACUGACGCUGAGGUACGAAAGCGCGGGGAGCAAACAGGAUUAGAUACCCUGGUAGUCCGCGCCGUAAACGAUGAGUGCUAGGUGUCGGGGGUCAAACCUCGGUGCCGCAGUUAACACAUUAAGCACUCCGCCUGGGGAGUACGUUCGCAAGAAUGAAACUCAAAGGAAUUGACGGGG
rnacentral:rRNA from 1 species